CAUAAUAAAGUCGCUCCUUCCCCAACUGCCGCACCGGCACGAAGCGGACAGCCUCGUGCCAAACACACCAUCAGCCGGAAGGACCGUCACGGUGGGGCGGGACCGUUGACGCUACACCGGCCGGCGAUUGGGGAGUCCGUCGGGGAAAUUCCACCACUCAGGCGACGGCGGAGGAGGAUAAAAGGACGCGCUUCCGGCGCGCGAGGAGAACGGCGAAGAGACAGACUCCGUGCGAGCGCGGACGAGACCGCCGGGUGGUGAGAUCGCGUUCAACGGUGGAUGACUGCACGGGAGACCCACGCGCACGUCUCGGGAACCCCGACAUGUCCUCGAGAAAGUCACAACGCCAGCCACACCCCCACGAAACCCCUCGCACUCACACGCCCUCACCUCCUCACGACAGACAAUUCACACACGGACAAAUAAAGCACCCAUUUUGACUGCAA